rnacentral:tRNA from 2 species
GGAAGGGUGACCGAGUUGGCUUAAGGUGCACGAUUGGAAAUCGUGUGUACGGCAAAACCGUACCCCGGGUUCGAAUCCCGGCUCUUCCG